AGAGUUUGAUCAUGGCUCAGGAUGAACGCUGGCGGCGUGCCUAAUACAUGCAAGUCGAGCGAACUUCGGGGUUAGCGGCGGACGGGUGAGUAACACGUGGGUAACCUGCCUGUAAGACUGGGAUAACUUCGGGAAACCGUAGCUAAUACCGGAUAAUUUUCCAGUUCACAUGAACUGGAAUGGAAAGAUGGCUUUUGCUA
rnacentral:rRNA from 1 species